AACGAACGCUGGCGGCAGGCCUAACACAUGCAAGUCGAGCGCACCCUUCGGGGUGAGCGGCGGACGGGUGAGUAACGCGUGGGAACGUGCCCUUCUCUGCGGAAUAGCCUCGGGAAACUGAGAGUAAUACCGCAUACGCCCUUUGGGGGAAAGAUUUAUCGGAGAAGGAUCGGCCCGCGUUGGAUUAGGUAGUUGGUGGGGUAAUGGCCCACCAAGCCGACGAUCCAUAGCUGGUUUGAGAGGAUGAUCAGCCACGCUGGGACUGAGACACGGCCCAGACUCCUACGGGAGGCAGCAGUGGGGAAUCUUAGACAAUGGGGGCAACCCUGAUCUAGCCAUGCCGCGUGAGUGAUGAAGGCCUUAGGGUUGUAAAGCUCUUUCAGCUGGGAAGAUAAUGACGGUACCAGCAGAAGAAGCCCCGGCUAACUCCGUG
rnacentral:rRNA from 1 species